UACGGAGGGUGCAAGCGUUAAUCGGAAUUACUGGGCGUAAAGCGCGCGUAGGUGGCUUGAUAAGCCGGUUGUGAAAGCCCCGGGCUCGACCUGGGAACGGCAUCCGGAACUGUCUGGACACUGGCAGAGGUCGGCGGAAUUCCCGGUGUAGUGGUGGAAUGCGUAGAGAUCUGGAGGAAUACCGGUGGCGAAGGCGGCCCCCUGGACAAAGACUGACGCUCAGGUGCGAAAGCGUGGGGAGCAAACAGG
rnacentral:misc_RNA from 1 species